rnacentral:RNase_P_RNA from 1 species
GGAGAGGAUCAUAUAUCUGCUUUACCGCUUGCGGUGAAGAGGAAAGUCCGAACACCACAGGGCAGGAUACUUCUUAAUUGGAAGUCUUUGCGAAGAGGAGCCAGCUCCACAGAAACAAACCGCCUAUAUGGUAAGGGUGAAAUGGCAGAGUAAGAGCCUGCCAGAUUCUGACGUGAGUCAGAAUGCUCGGAAAGCCUUAUCCGGUGCAAUGCCAAAUAGGGAAGCAGUCUUCGGACCCGGAUCUGCCCGAUCCGGUUUGCUUUCGGGUAGGCAGCUUAAGCCGGCAAUAUGUCCCCGUUGGGAAUAGCAAUAUCCGGCGUAGAGAAAUAGAUAUAG